rnacentral:rRNA from 1 species
AUGCAGUCGACGGAACGAUGGGAGCUUGCUCCCAGGCGUCGAGUGGCGGACGGGUGAGUAAUACAUAGGAAUCUGCCCAGUAGCGGGGGACAACCUGGUGAAAACCAGGCUAAUACCGCAUAAGCCCUACGGGGGAAAGCAGGGGAUCUUCGGACCUUGCACUAUUGGAUGAGCCUAUGUCAGAUUAGCUUGUUGGUGGGGUAACGGCCUACCAAGGCGACGAUCUGUAGCUGGUCUGAGAGGACGAUCAGCCACACUGGGACUGAGACACGGCCCAGACUCCUACGGGAGGCAGCAGUGGGGAAUAUUGCACAAUGGGCGAAAGCCUGAUGCAGCAAUGCCGCGUGUGUGAAGAAGGCCUGCGGGUUGUAAAGCACUUUCAGUAGGGAGGAAACAGUUGCGGGUUAAUAUCCCGCGACCUUGACGUUACCUACAGAAGAAGCACCGGCUAACUCUGUGCCAGCAGCCGCGGUAAUACG